AGCGAACGCUGGCGGCAGGCCUAACACAUGCAAGUCGGACGAACUCUUCGGAGUUAGUGGCGGACGGGUGAGUAACACGUGGGAACGUGCCUUUUGGUUCGGAAUAACUCAGGGAAACUUGUGCUAAUACCGAAUGUGCCCUUCGGGGGAAAGAUUUAUCGCCAUUAGAGCGGCCCGCGUCUGAUUAGCUAGUUGGUGAGGUAACGGCUCACCAAGGCGACGAUCAGUAGCUGGUUUGAGAGGAUGACCAGCCACACUGGGACUGAGACACGGCCCAGACUCCUACGGGAGGCAGCAGUGGGGAAUCUUGCGAAAUGGGCGAAAGCAUGACGCAGCCAUGCCGCGUGAAUGAUGAAGGUCUUAGGAUUGUAAAAUUCUUUCACCGGGGACGAUAAUGACGGUACCCGGAGAAGAAGCCCCGGCUAACUUCGUG
rnacentral:rRNA from 1 species